rnacentral:rRNA from 1 species
AAGCAAAUAAGGACGUACGGUGGAUGCCUUGGCUCCUAGAGGCGAAGAAGGACGUGACAAGCUGCGAUAAGCUACGGGUAGGUGCAAAUAACUUAUAAUCCGUAGAUUUCCGAAUGGGGCAACCCAUCUUAUUUAAUAAGAUAUUCUUUUUAAGAAGGCUAACCUGGUGAACUGAAACAUCUUAGUAGCCAGAGGAACAGAAAACAAUAGUGAUUCCCUUAGUAGUGGCGAGCGAACGGGGAUUAGCCCAAACCGGAGAUGUUUUGGCAUUUUCGGGGUUAUAGGACUGCGACAUUUGGUUAUAAAAAGAAUUGGAAGUUAACUGGAAAGUUACACGAUACAAGGUGAAAGUCCUGUACAAGUAAUUUUUAUAAUUGAUAGCAGUAUCCUGAGUAGCGCGGGACACGAGGAACCCUGUGUGAAUUUGGCGGGACCAUCCGCUAAGGCUAAAUACUCCUAGGAGACCGAUAGUGAACAAGUACCGUGAGGGAAAGGUGAAAAGAACCCCUAGCAGGGGAGUGAAAUAGAUCCUAAAACCGUUCGUUUACAAACUGUCGGAGCAUAUUUAUAUGUGACGGCGUGCCUUUUGCAUAAUGAGCCUACGAGUUAGUCGUCUCUAGCGAGGAUAAGGGCUUCAGGUCUGUAUUCGAAGCGAAAGCGAGUCUUAAUAGGGCGAUGUUAGUUAGAGGCGCUAGACGCGAAACCUAAGUGAUCUACCCAUGGCCAGGUUGAAGUUGCGGUAAUGCGCAAUGGAGGACCGAACCAAUAGAUGUUGAAAAAUCUUUGGAUGAGUUGUGGGUAGGGGUGAAAGGCUAAUCAAACUGGGAAAUAGCUCGUACUCCCCGAAAUGCAUUUAGGUGCAGCCUUGGAUUAAGUGUUACAGAGGUAGAGCUACUGAUAGGGUUAGGGGACUUCACCGUCUACCGCCCCCUGACAAACUCCGAAUGCUGUAACAUGGUUUCCAGGAGUGAGGGCAUGGGUGCUAAGGUCCGUGUCCGAGAGGGAAAUAACCCAGACCAUCAGCUAAGGUCCCCAAAUAUACGCUAAGUUGACCAAACGUAGUGCGACUGCAUAGACAGCUAGGAUGUUGGCUUGGAAGCAGCCAUUCAUUUAAAGAGUGCGUAACAGCUCACUAGUCGAGCGGUUGUGCGUGGAUGAUACUCGGGCAUUAAGUGUAUUACCGAAGCUAUGGCAUAGUAAUUUAUUAUUAUGGGUAGGGGAGCAUUCCAUAUUCGUUGAAGCUGUAGCGUGAGCUAUAGUGGAGGUUAUGGAAGAGAAAAUGUAGGCAUGAGUAACGAUAAAACGGGUAAGAAACCCGUUCACCGAUAGACUAAGGUUUCCACGGCCAUGCUAAUCAGCCGUGGGUUAGUCGGGUCCUAAGGAAAACCCAAAGGGGGUAUCCGAUGGCAAAUUGGUUAAUAUUCCAAUACCUAUAUUAACUGCGAUGGGGUGACGAAGUAGUGGCAUAUCCGCGUACUGACGGAAUAGUACGUUAAAGGGUGUAGAUUAUGAUUUAGUUAAUAGCUAGAUUUUUCGAACCUGACAGUACCAUGAUCCUUCGGGUGAUUGGAUAGUGAUAGUAAUCAUACUUCCUAGAAAAACCUCUAAGCUUCAGGUUAAUAUAGCCCGUACCUCAAACCGACACAGGUAGUCAAGGAGAGAAUCCUGAGGUGCUCGAGUUAGUCGUGGCUAAGGAACUAGGCAAAUUUACCCCGUAACUUCGGGAUAAGGGGUCCCUACGCGAGUAGGGCGCAGAGAAAUGGCCCAUGCGACUGUUUAACAAAAACAUAUGGCUUUGCAAAAUUGAAAGAUGAAGUAUAAGGCCUGACACCUGCCCGGUGCCGGAAGGUUAAAAGGGGAUGUUAUCAGCAAUGAGAAGCAUUGAAUUGAAGCCCCGGUAAACGGCGGCCGUAACUAUAACGGUCCUAAGGUAGCGAAAUUCCUUGUCGGGUAAGUUCCGACCUGCACGAAUGGUGUAACGAUGUGGGCACUGUCUCAGCCACGCGCUCGGUGAAAUUGUAGUUCCGGUGAAGAUGCCGGAUACCCGCGACGGGACGAAAAGACCCCGUGCACCUUUACUAUAACUUCAUAUUGAUUCUGGUUAAGUGAUGUGUAGGAUAGGACGGAGACUAUGAGGCAUGUUCGCUAGGGCAUGUGGAGUCAUCCUUGAAAUACGUCCCUUUACUUAAUUGGAACCUAAUCCCUUCGGGGAGACAGUGUGUGGUGGGUAGUUUGACUGGGGUGGUCGCCUCCAAAAUCGUAACGGAGGCUUUCAAAGGUACCCUCAGCACGCUUGGUAACCGUGCGUAGAGUGUAAUGGCAUAAGGGUGCUUGACUGUGAGACCGACGGGUCGAUCAGGUAGGAAACUAGGACAUAGUGAUCCGGUGGUUCCGCAUGGAAGGGCCAUCGCUCAAAGGAUAAAAGGUACGCCGGGGAUAACAGGCUGAUCGCUCCCAAGAGCUCACAUCGACGGAGCGGUUUGGCACCUCGAUGUCGGCUCGUCACAUCCUGGGGCUGGAGAAGGUCCCAAGGGUUGGGCUGUUCGCCCAUUAAAGUGGCACGCGAGCUGGGUUCAGAACGUCGUGAGACAGUUCGGUCCCUAUCUGUCGUGGGCGUAGGAAACUUGAGAGGACCUGACAUUAGUACGAGAGGACCGUGUUGGACAAACCUCUAGUGUACCUGUUGUGGCGCCAGCUGCAUCGCAGGGUAGCUACGUUUGGACGAGAUAAGUGCUGAAAGCAUCUAAGCACGAAGCUCCCCUCAAGAUGAGGUUUCCAUUAAGGGUCGUUAUAGACUAUGACGUUGAUAGGCUGCAGGUGUAAAGGCAGUAAUGUCAAAGCCGAGCAGUACUAAUUACCCAAUAGCUU